AAAGCGCCCAUGUGCUUCUCUCUCUCUCUCUGAUGGCGUUUUCAUGGCCGCUGGACCUUUCUCACCUCCACUCGCCCACUCUCCACAGCCCCACCAUCCGUACGAUUGGAUUUCCUUACCCGCCAUCACCUUCCAACCAUCUCACUAACCGCCCUUUCCACUUCCCAACCUUCACUCCCCAACAAAUCCCAUCCCUUCAUCACCACUACCACAAAACCCCACGACCGACGGCUGAAAAUCACAGCCGCCCACUUCAACAUCUCAUUCCAACCGCUCAUCUCCCCUCACGAUCAUUGGGGAAUAUGGACCUCUCUCUUCACAGACGGUGCAUUCGGCCUCUGGCUGGAGAAGACGAAAGUGCGGAGAGCGCUGAGCCGCGCCCUGGUCAGCACUCUGGUGGCGCUCGCCACGACCAACCUCAGCAUCAUUGCUAGUGAGGUCCCGGUGUAUUCUGUUGUCUUGGAGUAUCUGCUGCCCAUCACCCUUCACUUGCUGCUCUUCCGAGCAGAUCUGCGUCGCAUCCUGCAGUCCAUCAGGACGCUGCUUCUGGUCUUCUUGCUUGGAUAAGCUUACAGGGGAGUUGUUGGAUCAUGUAACUAGCUGGGAUGUUGGAACAUAAUCUAUUGUUGCAGUUUGAUGUAGACCAAUGUAUUUGGAAAAGUUGCACCAGUCCUCUAUCUAGACCAGUGUAUUUGGAUGUAAGCUAUUGGAGAUUGCAAUUUGUUAUUGAUUGUGCUUAACAGAUGAGUUUUAUUUCUCUGGCCUACUGAUCACAAUCUACGAUGGUAAACAACUUUUUGAAUUUGAUUGGGCUCACAUGAUAAGAUCUUGCCUUGUAUUGUUGUGGAUGAUUCACAAAGAACAACACUUAACAAUUGGCCGAUGCAAAAAUGAAGAAAUUUACAAAAGAUGCUAUCAAAUUCAAAAUGGAUGACAGUAUGUGGAUUCAUAAUUUUGCAUUUAUGUUUUAAUUGACACGAGCAUAAAGUUUGAAGUUUACUGUUUUUCUUUGGUUUUUCUAUGAAUGAAGCAUACCUUUAAUGUCAU